GCCCCCUCCGAUGUUAAAUGAAUCAGGGCGGCGCCCUCGCGGGAGCUGAGCCACGUUGGAUGCGUCUCUCUGGAACAGAUGUGAUGCAACCCAGUGGCUGACAUGUCCGAAGGGGGCAGAGUGAGCGGCUCAGUGCAGUAGCUCUGUGCCGCGCAGCCAGUUUUCGCUAUCAUGACCUUGUCAACUGACUGCCACUCAAGUCAGACCUCCGAGGGUUUCUGCUUCCUUAGCUGAGGCCGGAGCUGUGACGGACACGAAAAUUUUCCCCUGCUACGCACCUCCCCGGAGGUGCCACAUGGCAGACCUAUACAGGAUCUUCUACAACAGGAUCGACUGGUCCAUCGCGACACUGUCUACCACUAGAUGGGAUGACAACGGAACAAUCUCGAUGGCAACUGAGAAAACAAAGGAGAACACAGUUGAAAGUUAUGGAAAAUGUAAAUGUAAGGGAAUAUCGAGAUUUUUGUACAAACUACAAUUCGAACUAAAGAAAACAAUUAACUUUUUAAAUGAACAUCAAGUGUUCUAUCAAGUGUUGUCUCUCUAGUGGUUAUGGAGCUUUUGAUUGCCAUCACAUACAUUUCAUCAAUGUCAAGUUUGACCAGUGCUCCGUUAGUUGUGGAUUUCUAGAAAACCUUGUUUUAUUGUAAAACAAAGACCUCUAAAUAAAUGAUCUUCUUAAAAAUGUCUGUAUGGCUUUCAGAGGUGUCUCGUAAUGGUUUGCAUCCCAUCUCAUGCAUGUUUAUUGGAAUAGGUCCUCCCAGGACUGGACAUCUCCCGGAAUAGGCCUUCUCUUCUCAGGGCCCACGCUACACACUCUAAUUUCCUUUUGAGCGGCCUUAAAACAGGCGGAUCAGACCUCCAUGCUUUAUUCUUGAUGGACACAGCGCUGUGGAUGAUGAUGGGGAAACAUGUUUACCCGUGGGUAUCGUGACUACACGCCCUGUGAGGGUGUGCUCAGCUGAGACAUUUUGUCCUGCUGAGAGUAUUCUUCACAAUGUGAGGGGGGGUUGUCAUCAGAUGGGCUAUGUGACAGCAGUCCACAGAAAUGGCUAUAUUUCCCACAAGUACUAUAUUUCCCACAAGUACUGAUAUGAAGAAUUAAAUAUCAAUAUUUAGCUUAGUUGAGGUGUAUCUUGAAUUCCCUGCAGGAAUAUAAUGCUGCAAUGUUUUCAUCGUCAUAUUUAGUGAUUUGGUGAUUAACAUCUGGUAGUAUGCACAGUGCCGAUACUCAAAGUUACCUCCAAAUGUUUUUUUAGCACCAGCCAAAGUUUGCCAUACAUUGUAUGAUCG